GCCAGCACUGCAGAGUCAGAAACAUGUGAGAAGCUGUGGUCUAAAAAGGGAAGUCCAAAGGGUCACCAAAGUGAAGGGGCCAGAAGCAGCUAUGGCAGCUGGGAUAUGGAGCCAGGAAUCUGAGAACUGGGGAGGCGACUUCAGCUGCUUCCUGGAACGGGCCAGGACACAGGGAUGAUGUUCCAUGGAUAAGGCUGUGCUGUGCCAGGCGAGGCCCAGACGCACAUCUGGAUGCUUAAACCCCAGCAUACAAUGGCAGCCAGAUGGCUUCAUCUGUCCUUUGAACGUGUCUGUCCUUUUAAAUUCCAGCUUAACGGCCACGUGUUUUAGGCCACUUUUAUCAUCCCAAAAUAGCGCUCUGACCAUGUCUGCAAAGAAGGGCCCCUGAAGCAAACGCAGUGGGCUGGCUGCCAAGGCUGGCAGAAUGAGACACAGUACUUCAAAUAAAUGCAGGGUGUUUGCUUACAGA